rnacentral:rRNA from 1 species
CGAUCCCAAAUCAAGUAAGACUACCCGCUGAACUUA